UCACGUGACCAAGAAGGUUCUUUUUUGGCCAGUUUUGUCCUUGGUUGCUUGGCAGGCAUUUGAGGAUAGAAGAGGACUGUGGGCACACCCCAAUGAGCAGGAAGCAACAGGGCUGAGGACUUGAACACACAGAGCUGGCAACUUGUGAGAUAAAGGGCUAUACACCUGUGCAGUCCAAUGUGGGAGCCAAGCCUGGUGUGGGAAAAGAAGCACUUGGACCUUCUUCAGGCUUGCUUAAGAUUAUAGACCUGUCCCUGAAAAAUCUCUGUAUGGGUAUGGAGUGCGGAAAUGCAAGGAUAUUCAGACUCCGGAUUUUCUCCUUCCCUUUGAGGUACGUUGUAGUUUACCUUCAAACCACCAGGGGGCACACGCAUUUAGGGCAGAGACCCAGCUUGGGUCUG
rnacentral:lncRNA from 1 species